CUCACGUGCCGCGCGCAAGAAAUCCGGUAGCGAAGAAGAGAAGGAGAAUUUGCUAACAAAUAUGCCGGAGGAACACAAACGAAAACGAAUCGACAACAUGAAUGUGGUAGAUCAUCUAUUGGAGCACAGAUUUGAGACCCUUAGUCUGGAGGAAAAAUUAGAGGACACUGCUUUGGCCUAUGGGAGGUGUACUCCAUGGUGAAAUAUAUUGGGUUCUUAUAGUAGCUUUUACAGCUGUCUGCAGUAGUAUCAUUCUAUUCUGAGGUUUACGGAAGCUUAGUUUAAAUUUAAAAACUUACAUUCUUGCAAUGUUUUGAUGUCAGCAAUAAAAGAUGUACUUAAUUAAUUGAAUAUAUAUAUCUGAUACAUGGAGAACAGUCAAGUAGUUAAAAAACAAAAAGCCCAUACUGAAUAGUGUUAAAGUAUAUUUUUAUUUGUAAUGGUUGUG
ensembl:lncRNA